GAUCCUGGCUCAGGAUGAACGCUAGCUACAGGCUUAACACAUGCAAGUCGAGGGGCAGCAUGACGAUAGCUUGCUAUUGUUGAUGGCGACCGGCGCACGGGUGAGUAACGCGUAUCCAACCUUCCCGUUGCUAGGGGAUAACCUUGCGAAAGUAAGACUAAUACCCUAUGAAGUUCUUCGCAGGCAUCUAAAGAGAACGAAAGAUUUAUCGGCAACGGAUGGGGAUGCGUCUGAUUAGG
rnacentral:rRNA from 1 species